rnacentral:rRNA from 1 species
CGUCAAGUCAUCACUGGCCCUUACGGCCUGGGCUACACACGUGCUACAAUGGUCGGUACAAAGGGUUGCCAAGCCGCGAGGUGGAGCUAAUCCCAUAAAACCGAUCGUAGUCCGGAUCGCAGUCUGCAACUCGACUGCGUGAAGUCGGAAUCGCUAGUAAUCGUGAAUCAGAAUGUCACGGUGAAUACGUUCCCGGGCCUU